rnacentral:rRNA from 1 species
UGCGUAGGCGGACUAAUAAGUCAGUGGUGAAAUCUUUCGGCUCAACCGGGAAACUGCCAUUGAUACUGUUAGUCUUGAGUUCGGUUGAGGUAGGCGGAAUGUGUAAUGUAGCGGUGAAAUGCUUAGAUAUUACACAGAACACCAAUUGCGUAGGCAGCUUACUAGACCGACACUGACGCUGAGGCACGAAAGCGUGGGGAGCGAACAGGAUUAGAUACCCUGGUAGUCC